rnacentral:lncRNA from 1 species
CCACAGAGUCAUGUGUGGAAGAGUGCAAAAGGUCUGUUUGUGUGCUAGAGAUUCGAAGAGUCCAGUGGAAAGUGUGAAGUCCAUUGUACUGUGCAUGAGUCUGUUAUCAGAAGGCAAAAGGAUCUUUAAUAGAAGGCUGAAGAGUCCGUGCUGGAAACCAGGAGACAACGUCCAAGAUGAAGGUGAACACUGGAGCCCCUCUGAAGAAACAAAAAAAGUGAGAGUUUCUCAUGCACAGAAUGUGCAUUAGUGGUGAUGGAAUUUCUUCUAGGAGACAGAGAAACCCACAGUAAUGGAUUAAAAGAACCUGACCAAAAAGAUAUGCAGCUAGAAGUAGCAGAUGACCCUUGUUAUGGCUUGGUUAUGUCCUCCAAGAUUGUUAUUGGAAGCAGCAGUUCCUGUAAGUUUGCCAGGCUGUCUUUGUGGGCUGAUUAAGAGUGCAAUUUUGAAGAAAAGAGGGAAGAUGGGAGAAGUGAAUAGUCAGCUAUAUUCAUGGUGUUGAAGAAAGAAUUUGGUUUGCUGGGAUACAGCCUGUGAUAACAGAACAAGGCCUGGAAAGAAACAGGUUAAGAUCUGGCCAUGGAGUUCAAGCUGGCCUUGGACUGACUGUAUAAUCAUAGGCUGGCCUCCAACUCACAGCAAUCCUCCUGUCUCAGCCUCUCAAGCACUGGAUUACAGGAAUGUGCCACCAUGCUCAGCGAAUUUUCUGUUUUUAUCCAAGUUUUCAGUUUGAUUUAUUUUAUCUACCUCCUCAACAUUGCUUUCUAACUCUUUUUUCUCUUAUAUUAAGCUCUUUUCUUUCCCUCAUUGGUUCUUUUUUUCUUUUUUAAAUUAGCAUCACUGAUGUUUCCUGUAGAUUCAUUUUUUUUAAGUCUUUUAUUUGUUUUUCAUUCAGUUUGUUUUCUAUUCCUUGCAUGUUUUCUGUUUUUCCCAAAUUGUUGUUUUUAUUUUCUUCUCUUAUAUAACUUUUUUACAAUGUUUAAUGAGCUUUCAUUAUAUGCUUAGAUUUUAAAUGUAGGCCACUAAAAAAGCAUGCACAUGUUUGUACAACUUGGUAUGAAUAAAUAUGUUACUGUGGAAAAAAUCUAGCUGGCUGAUGCCUCAGAUCAUCCCUGAUACAGGAAACUAGAAUUAUUUUUCUUUUCUCUUUGGUCUGGUUAAACUUCUAUAAGGAUUUCUGGUCUUUCUCCUGAAGGUUAAAUGUUUGGCAGCUUAAGAUCCCUGGGUAGUUACCAACCAGGAGCUUUCAAACUACCAUAUUUCCUUUAUGUUUUUUAGUUGAUAUCUUUAAAAUAUUUUUAUUAUUAUUAUAGUGAUG